UACGGGGGGGGCAAGCGUUGUUCGGAAUUACUGGGCGUAAAGGGCACGUAGGCGGUUUGUUUCGUUAGGCGUGAAAUUCCUGGGCUCAACCUGGGGACUGCGCUUAAGACAAGCAGACUGGAGUGUGAAAGAGGGUCGUGGAAUUCCCAGUGUAGAGGUGAAAUUCGUAGAUAUUGGGAGGAACACCGGUGGCGAAGGCGGCGACCUGGUUCAUUACUGACGCUGAGGCGCGAAAGCGUGGGGAGCAAACAGG
rnacentral:rRNA from 1 species